CUGUGAUGAUGGCAUUUCUUAGGACACGUUUGGAUUAAAAAUGAAAACAACUACUCUCUGAGCAGC
rnacentral:snoRNA from 1 species